rnacentral:rRNA from 1 species
GACGAACGCUGGCGGCGUGCUUAACACAUGCAAGUCGAACGAUGAAGCUGGAGCUUGCUCCGGUGGAUUAAUGGCGAACGGGUGAGUACACGUGAGCAAUCUGCCCUUGACUCUGGGAUAACUGCGGGAAACUGUAGCUAAUACCGGAUACGAGGCUCGAAGGCAUCUUCGGGUCUGGAAAGAAUUUCGGUCAAGGAUGAGCUCGCGGCCUAUCAGCUUGUUGGUGAGGUAAUGGCUCACCAAGGCGACGACGGGUAGCCGGCCUGAGAGGGUGACGGGCAAGACGGGGAGUGAGAAACGGCCAAGACUCCUACGGGAGGAAGCAGUGGGGAAGAUUGUACAAGGGGGGAAAGACUGAUGCAGCAACGCCGCGUGAGGGAUGAAGGCCUUCGGGUUGUAAACCUCUUUUAGCAGGGAAGAAGCGAAAGUGACGGUACCUGCAGAAAAAGCACCGGCUAACUACGUGCCAGCAGCCGCCGUAA